rnacentral:lncRNA from 1 species
CCGGGAGACCCGCGGGUCUGGCUGCGAGAGACCAUGGGGGCUCAGCUAAGCGGCGGCCGCGGCGCCCCGGAGCCUGCGCAAACCCAGCCCCAGCCCCAGCCCCAGCCCCAGCCCCAGCCUGCGGCGCCGGAGGGCCCGGAACAGCCCCGGCGUCCGCCCCAGCCCCAGCCCCAGCCCCAGCCCCAGCCCCAGCCCCAGCCCCAGCCCGAGCCCAGCCCGUGGGGGCCGCUGGACGACGUGCGCUUCCUCAUCGCCUGCACUUCCUGGUACUGACGGCGUCCUCCGGAGGAUGUCGCCCGUCUGUCCGCCGUCCCCUGUGGUUCUUGCCUGCCUUGUCUCCUCUCCCCACGUCCCUGCGUCUCUUACACCCCCUCCCACCCGAGGCUCCCCAGAGAUAGCAGAGAAUUCGAAGAGGUCGCCGGGGACUGGAAAGAAGUCCCGGCAGGGCCGCCUUCGCAGUCUACACCCCAGCCUGCUUCCCAGCCUACACCCAGACCCAGCUCAGACCUUUGUGACCACCCCAUCCCUUUCUCCGGCUGGCUGGGUCGGGGGCAUCCCUCUCUGUCGCUGGCUUCCAGAGGCAGGGCAGGCCUCCUGGUAAGCCCGCAAAGUUGCUGACCUCCUGACUUCGUCUGCCUUUUAUUAAUAUCUGUAUUGCUGAUAACCGUGCUCUUGACUAUGUGUCCCAGGUCAUGGCACCAGGGGCCUUGACUUUGGAGAAGCCCGUGCCACAGUGACCCUCCCCAUACUCCUGGGGGGGCUGCUCCCCAUCCUGGAUCGUAAGGAGGCAUCAUCAGGCUGUGUUCCUGGAACCCCAAUAACCCUGGGUCCCCAGGGCCAGCCUGUUGUAGAGGGAGGCUAUCUGACCGCCGGUCUGGCAGAGGAGAUGGGUGGGCAGCUCCCAGACACCCCAAAGGACCCGGUUCUCCUCCCAGAGCGUCCUAAGGUUACUCUUGGAACCUGAUCUUUGUUCCCUCAUCCCAGGGAAAUGACACACUCUGUAUUUCUGUUUUAUUUAGAAAUGAUUUAAAAAACAUUAUACAAAGGCUGAUCAGUUUAAAAUGUGACUGACACUGAAAUGCUGUGAUGUCCCCCAGGCUGAGGGGAAGCUAGGCCCUGGGGCCCCCAGUGCUUUGCCCCUCUGUCUGCCCUGUCCUGGGGUGAUGGACAGAUGACCACAGGUAGGAGAAUCUGAGAUUGGAAGCCUCUAGGCUGAGCCCUCUGGGCCUGGCCCCACAUCCCUCACCUCUGCAGCCUGGGCUGCCUGCCUCCAUCUCCUGUUCAUUCUCAGCUGGCCUGCCAGGAGCCAACGGGGAGCCUGGCGGGAGGCGGGGGUGCCUAGAGCUUUCAAGAAGUGAGAGCACCAACCUGAGGAGUGGACAGGGACCAGGAAGUGGGGGAAGGGAGGCCAGGAAGAGGUGGAUACAGGAGACACUUCUCAUCUCAUCUCAGACCCUAGAGGGGUCCACAGAUGGGGACACAAGACCCAGCCAGCCCACUGGAUGGCCCAGGCAAGUAACAACCUCUCUGUGCUUCAUCUGAGGGCACGGUGAGAGUUACCGUCGGCCUCCCAGGGCCUAACACGAGUUUCAUGUGAGUGGACAGGUGUGAGCUAAUAAAGUGCUUUGCAAAGUAUAAAACACUGUACAAACCUAUGAAUCACUAAUAUCUCCGCAGUUGUUCCCUGCCUGUCCCAGGGAGCCUGCCCUUGGCCAAAAUGAGAAAAAACAAGGAUGAUGACAGGGGACACAGCGGACCCACAUGGGCACCUCUGGGACAAGAGAUUUUGCUUGAGACAGCUCCCAGGGCAGCAGGAGUCCCUGUCUGUGCUACAGGGUAAGCCGACCCCAAUCCCAGAGACCACAGGGUCGGGGGCAAGGCCCAUGCAGGCUCAGUGAGCAGGAGUGGCAUCUGAGACCCGGCCAGCACGCUGGAGACUGCCUGACACCUCUUUUUGGCUUUGGCAGAGAGCCAGUGGGCAUUGAUGAACCCAUUGGCCUUGUCUAGGGCUCCUCAGUGACAAGCAGGGCUGCCUCCGCCGUACUGGAGCAAGGCAGGCCAAGCCCUAGGAACUCCUGCUGGAGACAGUGAAGGGCAGGCCAGUGAAGGUCAAAAAGGGAGCCCCCUCAGCUUGGGGCUGCUACCGGUAGGGGUGUCCUUCUAAAAGCAGUGUGGGAAGAUGGGCCCAGUGAGCGAGGUCAGCAAGGGCCAAGCUCUGGGAAAACACUGCUUCCAGCCGAGAGAUUGAGUCGGCCUCAGAGUAGCUGGAGUCGGCCUCAGAGUAGUGGGGGCACUGAGCACUUCAGAUGCCCUGGUCCCCUUCCGAAGGACUCCCAGGCUCUGCCAGUGUUGGCCCUGCAGCCAUCUCUGCCUCACCUAACUGGUGAGGCUGAGCUCCAGGCUGCAAGUGACAGACUGGAGCAAAGCUGGGGACAGUGACAAUAGAGGGGAGUGGAGGACGGUCACAAACUUGGAUCUUCCUCCAGAAAUGGGGUCAGCUUCUGCCCCAGCUCUGUAGCCAUAGGAGCAGAGCUCAGCUACUGGGGUGUCUGGGCGCUAGAGUGGCCUUAGCAGCACCUUGGUCCUUGUCGCCUGGGGGAGGGCCGCUAUGCUGGCCUCAUCACCAAGACAGUCACCUCUAGUUCACCUAAAGCCUCAAGCAGCCUUUGCAAAAUGGGACAGUAGUGACAGGACAUUUAAAUAUUCACGAUGUGACAGCUGGGUCCUUGUCAGACCCAGCUGGGCCACAGCCCUGCCUGCAGCAUGUGACCCUAAAUCCUGGGUCUCCGAAGAGACCCUGACAAGUGGAGCAGGUUUCCUGAGGGAUCUGCCGUCUGCCAGCAGGGAAACCCAGGCUUGUUGCCCACUGUGUCAGAAGCAGGGGUCCUGUAGCCUUGGAGGACAGUGGGGUGGGGGUAGGGGGACAUCUGACCAGCAGGUGUUGGCAAAAGGGGACCAGGACUGGUGGUAUCUCCCGGAUGGGGGAUGAGAGCUAGUGCUGGCUUCCCACAGAGGGUGCUGGGUUCCAGCCAGGAGUGGAGCUGUGGUACCUCAUGGACACCACAGGAUGCCGUGACCACAGGGGCUCCUCCUGGCAUGGUCCCUGCCUCCGGAUGGAGCCUGGCCUAUUCCCUUAAGUAGGGAGUAGUUUGCCCAGGACAGAAGGCUGGCAGCUGGGUGCCAGACACCCACCCUGGGGCACAGCCCCCAUAAUUCCCUGCCCCACGCUCAGCCUAGGCCAAUGCACCCACCACUUCAGCUGUACGACCCCAGCCUAGGGCCCUGCUGGCCCUGGUGAGCACUGGCCAGAGCUGCCCCUCAGACCCUGGUGAGGAAGGGCCUGGCUGGCCAGACUAAGUGGAUAGAGAGGGCUCUGGGCUGCUCACACCCAUUCCUGGACUGGCCGCUUAUAGUAGGUGACAGGCUGAGGGCCUGUCUUGUUCUUGAACUGGAAGAUGGUGUAGACCAGCACCAGGAUGCAGAGGGACAGGAUGCAGGGGAUGACCACGGCCACGGCGUUCACGGAGCCCGGCACAUCGUUGAUGGUCACCAUGAUGUCCACGUCGUCCUGGGGCAGCCGCCGCUCCUUCCGCCGCUCCACCUCCUUCUGGUUGCAGCCCAUCCAGUCACGCAGGAUGUUGCGCGGGUAGCCUGGCUCCACGCUCAGUUUCUGGUUGUCAAACUUCCAGUAGUCCCGGCCCUUGUAGAAGUAGGUGUAAUCUGCAGAAAUACAGCCCAGCAUCACCACUCCCAGACACUUCCGGCACCUGCUCUGGGGCAGUGUGAAAAGGAGGGCACAGGCACUGUGGCAAGGGAGGCAAGGUGGGCACACCUGGA